GUGCUUGCUUCAGCAGCACAUAUACUAAAAUUAGAACAAUACAGAAAAGAUUAGCUAUGACCCCUGCACAAAGAUUGCUCAUAUUCAAAAGGUAUUCUAUAUUUAA